UUUUCAAUUUCCCCGAAUUUCAUUUGCAUUUCAAGACCUCCUCGACAAUCUCUCUAUACAAAUACCCCUUUCUUUCCUUUCUCUUAUCCUCUAGUCAAAGCUUUCGCCAGCCACGAACAGUGACGAAAGUAGAUCAAAGCGUCACCACCGCUUCUUCGCUCUUCCUUAUUCGGUAGUAAAAUAUGGCGGAUGCUGAGGACAUUCAACCCCUCGUCUGUGAUAAUGGAACUGGAAUGGUGAAGGCGGGUUUUGCUGGUGAUGAUGCCCCUAGGCAGUUUUUCCCAGUAUUGUUGGUCGACCCCGACAUACUGGCGUUAUGGUUGGGAUGGGUCAGAAGGAUGCCUAUGUAGGAGAUGAGCACAAUCCAAAAGAGGUAUCCUUACUUUGAAAUAUCCAAUUGAGCAUGGUAUUGUCAGCAACUGGGAUGAUAUGGAAAAGAUCUGGCAUCAUACAUUCUACAAUGAGCUCCGUGUUGCUCCCGAGGAGCACCCUGUGCUGCUCACUGAGGCACCUCUCAACCCCAAGGCCAACAGAAAAAGAUGACUCAAAUUAUGUUUGAGACCUUUAAUGUACCUGCCAUGUAUGUUGCCAUCCAGGCUGUUCUCUAUUGUAUGCCAGUGGUCGUACAACAGGUAUUGUGUUGGAUUCUGGUGAUGGUGUCUCUCACACUGUACCAAUCUAUGAAGGUUAUGCCCUUCCACAUGCCAUCCUCCGUCUAGACCUUGCUGGUCGUGAUCUCACUGAUUCUUUGAUGAAGAUUCUUACUGAGAGAGGUUACAUGUUCACCACCACUGCUGAACGGGAAAUUGUCCGUGACAUGAAGGAGAAGCUAGCUUAUGUUGCCCUGGACUAUGAGCAGGAACUGGAGACAGCCAAGAGCAGCUCUUCUGUUGAGAAGAACUAUGAGUUGCCUGAUGGACAAGUGAUUCUAUUGGAGCCGAGAGAUUCCGUUGUCCAGAAGUCCUCUUCCAGCCAUCACUCAUUGGGAUGAAGCUGCUGGAAUCCAUGAAACUACCUACAACUCUAUUAUGAAGUGUGAUGUUGAUAUCAGGAAGGAUCUUUACGGUAACAUCGUGCUCAGUGGUGGUUCAACCAUGUUCCUGGUAUUGCAGACCGUAUGAGCAAGGAGAUCACUGCCCUUGCACCAAGCAGCAUGAAGAUUAAGGUGGUUGCGCCGCCUGAGAGAAAGUACAGUGUCUGGAUCGGAGGAUCUAUCUUGGCAUCUCUCAGCACCUUCCAACAGAUUGGAUUUCCAAGGGUGAGUACGAUGAAUCUGGCCCAUCCAUUGUCCACAGGAAGUGCUUCUAAGUUUUCCAAGUGCUUUUAUGGUAAGUUACAUUUUCAAUUAGUUGCCUUCUUUUGUGUUAAGUGAGAAAGUGUGAAGGAUGGUGUACCUUGAGUUUAUAUUAUACAAGUCAUCCCUAUUCAUCAUAAGUUAUUACGACCUGUGAUGCCUGCCGGUGUUACUGUGGAAGAUCGCCAUCUAGAUAUGGUGAUGGACAGACAAUUGAUGAGGAUAAUGACUGUGAUGCUGUUUCUUAGUUUUUUUUGUUUAAUUUUACUGUUCAUUCCCCUCCCCCCAAAAUGAGAACAUCAAUGGGGUGAGUUGUUUGGGUUAGAUUAAGAGAUUGUUGGGGAAGAACAUUAAUGUUAAUAGCUAUUGUACCGAACGAGCAAAAUUUAAAUUAGUGUCAGUUUGCGGUCAUAAAACAGUCAUGGGAUUUAUUUUGGA